rnacentral:lncRNA from 1 species
CCGAACCCUAGCCUUACGCCGCCGCUAACGCUUCCUCCGUUCGGUGGUGCAGUGGUCGGUGCGCCUCCCUUCUCCUCUCUCUCUCUCUUUUUUUUCUUUUCUCUUCUCUUUUCUCCCUUCUUUUUCCUUUUGGUUGCUGUUUUUUUUUCUUUUUUACUUGCUGUUUUUUUUUUCUUUUUUGCUUGUUGCCUUGCUUGAUUGUGUUGUAGGUGCUGGCGGUGGAAGGAAAGCAAGGGCACGGUGGUGGUGAAGGGCGGCCGGAUUUUUGAACUCUUUCUUUUGUUUUUUUUUCUGCUGCUGCUUUUUUUGUUUUGCUUUUCUUUUUGAUUAAUUGUGGCUUUCAAGUGGUUGAGGUAAGGGGAAAAAGAUGGUGGCGGUAGUUGCGUGAUGGUGGUGAGGGCCCUUUUGCUGCUGUUUUCUUGGUGUUUUUGCUGCUAUUUUCUUUCAUUUUUUUUUACUUUCUCCAUGUUUUACUCUUGUUUACUUUUUUUUUUUUGAGGGUUUUUCACGUGAAAUGUUUGUGUUCGAUCUUCUCCACUUUUACUAUCUCGUUGUUUAUGCUAGUCGAUCCCCAAUAGAUAGCAAACAUAGGGCAUGUUUAGUAGCACUUAAAAAAAACACUUCUGGCUCCAAAAAUAUUUUUAAAAGAAAAGUUGUGCUAAAUAAGUUGCUUUUGGCUAAAUUUUUUUUGCUCAAAAACACUUUUGAAAAGAAAAAGCUAAAAUUUUUUAGCUUUGCUUUCACAAAAACAUUUUUGAUGCUUAAUUACUUUUUAUCCCUCCAAUAAUAUAGUACUUUCCCUUUUUUUCUUUUAAUUGCUUAAUUACAAAUGUGUUAAAAUCAUUCAUUAAAAUAAAAUAAAAAAUAUUUUUUAAAAUAUUAAUUACAAAUAUUUAAUUGUUAUAUUUAAAUAUUUAAAAUAUGAUUUAUAUAUUUUAAUUAAACUUUUUAAAUAAUUAAUAUUUAUUGUUUAAAAUAUUUAAAUUUAUAUUGCAUAUAUUUAAAUAUGAAAAAAUAACAAGGAAAUGGAAAUUAUGGAAUUGAUAAGCUCAUCAAUCAUGGUAUAAAUUACUGAUACAUAGAAAUUGUUGGACUAAUUUGAAUGUUGAGUUUGUGCAUGAUAAGGGAAUAAUGUAUGGAAUGGGUGUAUGAAUAUUUAUUGCAUUGUAUUGAAAAUAUUAGGUAAGUAUAAUCCUUGUUACAUGAACUUACUAAGCAUAAAGUGCUUACCUGUUUCUUUUUCUCUUAUUUUGUAGUGUUAAGAGCUCGGAGGUUGGAUUCGGUUAGAGACGUAUCACACUAUCAACCUCAAGAUCUCGGUAUAUAAAGAAACUUUAUUUUGGAAAUCGAUGGCAUUUAUAAGCUAGUAAAGUAAAUGUUAAUGUGAAAUGAAUGAAUGGUUAGCCAUUGGUAUGACUAACAAAUUUUGGUUUUGGUAUGUGAUGAGGUUAUCUUAUGAAGACGUUAAAUCUAUCUUGAAAAUAUGUUGAAAUUGAUUGGUUGUGUUGGUUUGGUCUCGGUUUAAAAUUGC